GUGGGGAAUAUUGCACAAUGGACGAAAGUCUGAUGCAGCAACGCCGCGUGGAGGAUGACACAUUUCGGUGCGUAAACUCCUUUUAUAUAAGAAGAUAAUGACGGUAUUAUAUGAAUAAGCACCGGCUAACUCCGUGCCAGCAGCCGCGGUAAUACGGAGGGUGCAAGCGUUACUCGGAAUCACUGGGCGUAAAGAGCGUGUAGGCGGAUUGAUAAGUUUGAAGUGAAAUCCUAUAGCUUAACUAUAGAACUGCUUUGAAAACUGUUAAUCUAGAAUGUGGGAGAGGUAGAUGGAAUUUCUGGUGUAGGGGUAAAAUCCGUAGAGAUCAGAAGGAAUACCGAUUGCGAAGGCGAUCUACUGGAACAAUAUUGACGCUGAGACGCGAAAGCGUGGGGAGCAAACAGGAUUAGAAACCCCAGUAGUCC
rnacentral:rRNA from 1 species